rnacentral:rRNA from 1 species
CAGCCGCCGCGGUAAUACGAAGGGGGCUAGCGUUGCUCGGAAUGACUGGGCGUAAAGGGCGCGUAGGCGGAUGAUACAGUCAGAUGUGAAAGCCCAGGGCUCAACCUUGGAAUUGCCUUUGAUACUGGCAGUCUUGAGUACGGAAGAGGUAUGUGGAACUCCGAGUGUAGAGGUGAAAUUCGUAGAUAUUCGGAAGAACACCAGUGGCGAAGGCGACAUACUGGUCCGUUACUGACGCUGAGGCUUGAAAGCGUGGGGAGCAAACGGGAUUAGAUACCCCUGUAGUCCCUGUCUCUUAUAC